AUUGAACGCUGGCGGCAGGCCUAACACAUGCAAGUCGAGCGAGCGGCGGACGGGUGAGUAAAGUGUGGGAAACAGCGCGAUGGAGAGGGAUAACAACUGGAAAAGGUAGAGAAUACCGCAUACAAUAAGAUGUGUGCAGAUGGGAUUAGCUCGUGGGGGGGGUAAUGGCUCACCUAGGCGACGAUCCCUAGCUGGUCUGAGAGGAUGACCAGCCACACUGGAACUGAGACACGGUCCAGACGCCUACGGGAGGCAGCAGUGGGGAAUAUUGCACAAUGGGCGCAAGCCUGAUGCAGCCAUGCCGCGUGUGUGAAGAAGGCCUUCGGGUUGUAAAGCACUUUCAGCGAGGAGGCGUUACCCGCAGAAGAAGCACCGGCUAACUCCGUGCCAGCAGCCGCGGUAAUUC
rnacentral:rRNA from 1 species